UAGGGAAUAUUGCUCAAUGGGCGAAAGCCUGAAGCAGCAACGCCGCGUGUGCGAUGAAGGCCUUCGGGUCGUAAAGCACUUUUCUGAGAGAUGAGAAAGGACAGUAUCUCAGGAAUAAGUCUCGGCUAACUACGUGCCAGCAGCCGCGGUAAAACGUAGGAGGCGAGCGUUAUCCGGAUUCACUGGGUGUAAAGCGCGUGCAGGCGGUUCGGUAAGUUGGGCGUGAAAUCUCCUGGCUCAACUAGGAGAGGUCGUUCAAUACUACCGGACUUGAGAGUGGUAGAGGAAGAUGGAAUUCCCGGUGUAGUGGUGAAAUGCGUAGAUAUCGGGAGGAACACCAGUGGCGAAGGCGAUCUUCUGGACCAUUUCUGACGCUCAGACGCGACAGCUAGGGUAGCAA
rnacentral:rRNA from 1 species